AUUCAAAUAGUUUUAAUUAAAAAUUUUAGUUUGUGGAUCUAAAGAUAUAUAUAUUUAUUUUGAAUA
rnacentral:tRNA from 1 species